rnacentral:snoRNA from 1 species
GGGACAUUCCAUUGAGUUCUGUUUCUUCUCCACUGAGGAUACAUGUUGCGAAUGUCCUCGAGCAUCAGAUAGUGCUGUGCCCACCUUUUUGAGGCCAAAAUGGUGGCUCAUUCCACUACUGACAUUU